CCGCGGAAGUGACUUCGCUGCCGGAAGUGGCGCUUGUCUCCUAGGCGACCGACGCUGAAAGGGCCGCGGAGUCGCGUGUCAGGGCUGGAGGGAGAUCUUGAGAUCACUUCAAACUUAAGUGAGCUCAGGUUCAUCUGGAGGAUGACUCGGCCUCUGUGUGAGGAAGGUGGGCCAGAGAGUGACUUGCACAUCACUUAGUGAGAAGUGAAGUCAGGAUCUGAAUCCAGGCAGGCUGAUUCCAGCAUCAACAUCACCACUUAGAACUGGACCUCCCCUUCCCUCUGCCCUCCUCUGACUCAGCCACAUGCCAGAAGCACACGAUGCUUGUCACAACACAGGACUUGCACUGCCUGAUUUGGAGGUACAUGGGACAGAAUUGCUCUGUCUGCUCUUGGUUUCCUGUGUGUGGUCUGCGCCCUUGAGGAAGGAGUGAGGGGAACGGGCUGCAGCCCCAUCUUUGGCGCUCUCCCAGACCCACAGAGGCAGAGCACAGAGAACGUGCUCAAUGCCCCAGCUGCUGGGUGGAGCUCAGCCCCUCCCCUUGUCCCUCAGCCCUGCCAUCUGGGCUUUAUUCUUCAAGCCCACAGGACGCUGCCUCUAGGAGGGAGCUUCACUCACCGGGUACUGGACAGGCACCGCAGAGCCUAUCAGAUCCAUUGUUUUCCCCUACAAAGGAGGCCUAGUACCCUUAUGUACAGAUGAGGAAACUAAUCUGAGGCUUAGAGAGUUGUGUGUCCUGCCUGAGGUCACAUAGCCAGUGAGCAGUGGGGCCAGAAUUUGAACUCAAGCCCGUAUGGUUUGAAAGUGCGUGGACUUUCCCCUUCUAGUCCUACUUGUUGUCCCUCCUACACUCUCUUCCUUUAUGCUCUCCAUCUCUUUCCCAUCGCUCCUUUAAGACCCUCAUUCAUGCCUUUUCCUUCAAUACUAACAGUAUACUACUUGAUGAUGGAACAAUGCAUUCCCGAACUCUUGCUACCAGUCAGCACUUGACAUGUUCCCCGUGUAAUCCUCCCCACAGCCCAUGAGGUGUUAUCAGGCCCAGCUUACAGAUGAAGGAAAUCGAGGCAUAGAGAACUGGCCCAGGGACUGACAGCAAGUAUUGGAGACCUGCCUGCAGAGCUCGCUCUCCUGCUCACUCCACUCAGCCCCAGGCUGCCUGUUCUAUGACGUUCCCGAGCCCCCAGUCAUAUUGUCAGUCAGGGCCUCUGUGCUUAUGUCAUCUCCUAACCACUCCUCAAGUGCCACCAAGGCAGCACCUGGGUGUGGGGGAAAGAAAGAUAUAUCAGACUGUUACUGUGUCUAUGUAGAAAAAGGAAGACAUAAGAAACUCCAUUUUGAUCUGUACUAAGAAAAAUCUUCUUAUUUAUUUUCUCAGUCUCUCGUCCCACCUGACGAGAAAUACCCACAGGUGUGGAGGGGCUGGCCCCCUUCACCUGGGUCUCGACUCCUGUUUUGUUCUGCGGUUCCCAUUGCAGUGCUGUGACCCCCCAGAAGCUCAGGAAAACAACUGACUUCCUGGUGUUGCCAACAGGCAGAGAGGAGAUGCAGCCAGUCCUUACCCUGUAGAAGAUGGGGAGGGAGUCCCAGGUGUACGGAUAAGCAAAGGCGAGGACACGAAUCACCUUACAGAGUCUGGGCUUCUGGAUUUCAAGAAACCUAAAUCAGGGAAGGAAAGUGGGGAGGAAAUGGAAUGAAAAGAGUCUCAGCAAAUUGCAUACGCACAUGCAUGCACACCGAGGGCCUGGUCAUCAACAGAGGACAAGCAUUUUUCUACAAGCUCCUGUGGCCAGCAGCUUCUCCACCAGCCUCGUCCAUUCCUCCCACCCCAAUGGAAGUGACAAAACUUCAGAUGCAAAAAGAUCUCCAGGGACACCAUCUCCUGACCAUGGGAAGCAGUGGUGUCCAGACUAAGCCAGAAAGGAGGCGCUGGGCAGAAACCCUUCAAGGGCCAAGUUAUGUAACUGCCAAAGAACCUUUUAAAACUCUAGUUGCUACAGGGACAGGGAACGGGUAGGGGGAAUCGGGGGAUCCACUGCCACAGACUCUUGGGGGGCACACUCUGCAGAGGCUGAGAUGCACCCAUCUAGUUGGAGCCCAGGUAUUAUCAUGCAGGAGACCUGGGUUCAAGUAGGUGUUUGACCCUUGGAGAGCUUUCUGGAAUAUUUAUACCACACACAGGGAUACUUGGCUUGGGAAAACUAAAUAAACGUGAAGUCUUUCCUUCUCUUCUUCAUUGCCACCCUCACCCAACCUCCAAUCCAAAGACAGCUGACAGCAACAUUAAAACAAGUGAUGCUGAUUGUUGAGAAGAGAGGCAGGUCCCCCCAGACAGAACAUGACAGGGCCUCAGCUGACUUGGGCCCAGCCUGGGGCAGCAGCUCAGGGUAUGGGGAACUGGGUAGCACAGACAGCAGGCUGCACACUGGGAGGACAUGGGGAGGGGCAGGGAGGGUCUCUGCACAAAAUCACAGCCCUGAACUGAGGCCUGGGUAAGGAAGUGCUCAUGGGCCCUGGCUGGGCCACCAAGGCCAGGUAGUAGGGACAGGUAAAGUCCCCACAUCAAUGCUGAGGUGUACUGUGGAGGGCUGUGUCCUCCCUUGGGGCCCACAGGGCUGCAGGGUAAGGAACCCAGCACAGUGGAUGCACAGCCACACGCUGAGGCUCUUGGGAUGGCUGUUCUGAUGCAGUCUGUAAAGGCAAUGCAUGCAUCUGGGCCCUUUCAGCCUUUGCUGACAGUUCUGCCCCCUAUCACACUGGAGGGAUGGGGUCUGUGUCCUGCUGUGGCUCCUAUCUCUGCUCCCAAGAACCUCGGUCCCAGUCCACAAGCCUGUUCCUUCUCCUUCAAAUGCCAUCUGCUGUUUCCUCUGAGCCCAGACCGAUUUCACCUGGCCAGGCUGUUCAUAUCUCGUAUGAGCCAGUAAAGCCACCUGACCAUAAACCCAGCUGCUGCCUGUAUCUCUCAGCAUGGAGUAUGCAGGGACUUCCACAUUGGGCAGUUAGGGAACCCUCCUCAGGCAGGUGCCAGAUCUGGUCAGGCCUGGAUCCUGGGGACCCAGCACAGAAGCAGGUCUGAGGAUGCGGACAUUCUCCAGGCUAUUGUGCUCCACUCAGUCCUCAGGGCAACCGAGCACAAAUGGCCCACCCGGAGAUUCCUGUUUCAGGAGAAAGGGACACCACUGUGUGCCCGGAGAAGCCCCACAGCCUCCCAAGACAAACCCCAACUUCACUCCAGCCCACUUUCGUGUUUCUUCUUUCCUGACCCUGCCUGUAAGUCAUACAUGGUACAUGGCAUGUACCAGGUGAGAAGCUCAAGGAGAAGGAACUAGGAUGCAUCAUCCCCCCCGAAAAAGAACCAAACUCCCGGAGAGGUGAGGCAGCGCAGCACUGUGAUUUUAUGUGGAGAGCUUGAUUGGGACACACUGGGUUCAAAUCCUGACCCUGCCCUUCACAACCACGUGACCUCGGCAGGUCACUAACCUUUGUGUACCUCCUGAUCCUCAUGUGUAACACAGGGACAAUGACUGUGCCUUGUCACAGCCUCGUUGUAUGGAUUUGAUGAAACGAUGCUCCCGAGGUGUUUAGAACUGUGCAUGGCACAGUCGCACAGACUAAACAGCAGCUUUUAAAAACACAUGCAUCGUGGAGCUCCAUUCUCUCCCCAUCCCCACCUUGUAUCUAUGUUGGUCCAGAUAAUAGGAACAGGAGGGAACAAAUAGGUUCUGGGUGAUUUGCCUGAAGUCAGAUGAGCCAAUAAGAAGCAGAGCUAGGAUUUAAACCCUGGGCUUUCUGGCCCCCAAGUGUCACCCCCUCUGUCUCAGGCAGUAGGCUGCGCAGACUCAGACCCCGCCCGGCCUUCACCCUUCCCUGCCCGCUCUGCCCCUGGAGCAGAGGGCACACACUCCUGCUAUCCCGAGAGCCAGGUAUCUGCCUCACCGGCCUUCUUAGUCCUCCGGCAGACCCUGCCCUGCCGCGGCAGGCCGCCCCCUCCUGCCCUGUGCCCUGCCACCGCCUGCCGUCUCCAGGUUGAGAGGCUCGCUCUUAAAGGGCCCCUGUGGCCACUUACACGCGAAGAAAUCUGGCUGUGGCUGGCGAAGGCCAUCCCCCAAAGCAUGGAUUUUCUGUGACUUGAGACAACAUUUCGCUCGGCCUGAUAAAGUGUUUCCCCAGGGGCAAACGGACCAGCCUCUCCAGCUGCAAAGCCGGGUCUAGAGGGAAAAGAGAAGGAGAAAAAGCAGAAGAGAAGAGAGACAGCAACAGAGAGAAAAAGGCAGAAGGGCCAGUAGCUCGGGAGAGGGGCCGUCCGCUACCAAGUUGCAGUUCCGCAUUAGGCCACGCGAUGUCGCCACAGCCAGAGCAGAACCACAGCCGCAGCAUCCUCAGAGGCGCCCCACGUGCGGCCCCACAGCCCAGCCUGCUCGGGCUUAGGGCAGUCCCGCACCAGAGGGCUAAGGGGCUGCUAUAGAGGAAGUGAGGUCUCUGCUCAGAACGAGGUUGGCAGGACACACUGGGUUACGGGAGAAGCCUUCGUUAAGAAAGGGUCGAUUCAACACAAUCUGACAAAAAAGCUGGAAGGAUUGGCAACUGGAAUUCCGGAACUAGGGCUUGAAACUAGCGGGCCUUUGGAAAAAUCAUUCUAUUGCAGAGGCGCACGCACGAGUGCACGUGUGUGUGUACAUGGGGGCGGUAGUUAUGGUUGUUUUAUUGUGUAGGAGUUGUCUUAUUUUGGAGAACUGCAGGGAUGUAGACAUUUCCCCAUGCCCCUAACUGGCUAUAGCAGCACUUUAUCCUCUGGCCAAGCCUCUGUCUGAGAACCAUGUCUGCUGAGCCUUCUACCUCCAGCGCUGACCUCAAACCCCUUCCAGGUCA
rnacentral:lncRNA from 10 species